GGGGGGGGGGGGGGGGGGGCGGGGGGGGGGGGGGGGGGGGGGCGGCACGGGGGGUGGCGCGUGGUGGCGAGGGGCGAACGGGUGAGUAACAUAGCGGAACGUACCCAGUCGUGGGGGAUAACUAGCCGAAAGGGUAGCUAAUACCGCAUACGGCCUGAGGGAGAAAGCGGGGGAUCGCAAGACCUCGCGCGAUUGGGGCGGCCGAUAUCGGAUUAGCUAGUUGGUGGGGUAAAGGCUCACCAAGGCGACGAUCCGUAGCGGGUCUGAGAGGACGACCCGCCACACUGGAACUGAGACACGGUCCAGACUCCUACGGGAGGCAGCAGUGGGGAAUUUUGGACAAUGGGGGCAACCCUGAUCCAGCCAUUCCGCGUGAGUGAAGAAGGCCUUCGGGUUGUAAAGCUCUUUCAGCAGGAACGAAACGGUCGGCUUUAAUAAAAUCGGCUAAUGACGGUACCUGCAGAAGAAGCACCGGCUAACUACGUG
rnacentral:rRNA from 1 species